UACGGGGGGAGCAAGCGUUGUUCGGAUUUACUGGGCGUAAAGGGCUCGUAGGCGGCCAACUAAGUCAGACGUGAAAUCCCUCGGCUUAACCGGGGAACUGCGUCUGAUACUGGAUGGCUUGAGUUUGGGAGAGGGAUGCGGAAUUCCAGGUGUAGCGGUGAAAUGCGUAGAUAUCUGGAGGAACACCGGUGGCGAAGGCGGCAUCCUGGACCAACACUGACGCUGAGUGAGCGAAAGCCAGGGGAGCAAAACGGG
rnacentral:rRNA from 1 species